GACGAACGCUGGCGGCGUGCUUAACACAUGCAAGUCGAACGGAAAGGCCCUUCGGGGUACUCGAGUGGCGAACGGGUGAGUAACACGUGGGUGAUCUGCCCUGCACUUUGGGAUAAGCCUGGGAAACUGGGUCUAAUACCGAAUAGGACUACGCUCUUCAUGGGGUGUGGUGGAAAGCUUUUGCGGUGUGGGAUGGGCCCGCGGCCUAUCAGCUUGUUGGUGGGGUAAUGGCCUACCAAGGCGACGACGGGUAGCCGGCCUGAGAGGGUGACCGGCCACACUGGGACUGAGAUACGGCCCAGACUCCUACGGGAGGCAGCAGUGGGGAAUAUUGCACAAUGGGCGCAAGCCUGAUGCAGCGACGCCGCGUGAGGGAUGACGGCCUC
rnacentral:rRNA from 1 species